rnacentral:rRNA from 1 species
AGCAGCCGCGGUAAUUCCAGCUCCAAUAGCGUAUAUUAAAGUUGUUGCAGUUAAAAAGCUCGUAGUUGAAUUUCGGGAUCAUCAGGUUGGUCGUGCCUCUGGUAUGUACUGAUUUCGAUGGUUCCUCCUUCUUGAAGAGCCGUAAUGUCAUUAAUUUGGUGUUGCGGGAAAUCAGGACUGUUACUUUGAAAAAUUAGAGUGUUUAAAGCAGGCAAUCGCUUGAAUACAUUAGCAUGGAAUAAUGAAAUAGGACGUUCGAUCCUAUUUUGUUGGUUUCUAGGAUUGACGUAAUGAUUAAUAGGGAUAGUUGGGGGCAUUAGUAUUCAAUUGUCAGAGGUGAAAUUCUUGGAUUUUAUUGAAGACUAACUACUGCGAAAGCAUUUGCCAAGGAUGUUUUCAUUAAUCAAGAACGAAAGUUAGGGGAUCGAAGACGAUCAGAUACCGUCGUAG